UAAAUUAGAUUUUCAGUCAGUGUUAGCUUUUGUCCAAUAUUACAACACCAUUAUUAUCAUGAUUGGCUAUACUUGAAGACAAAUGUCUUGAUGUUUCUGAACAGAUUUUUCAAUUUGUACUGCAUUUAGAAUUAUCAAUUGAUUUUUUUUUUAUUUUUUUUUUUUUUUUUGAUUUAGAAUGCAAGCAUAUUUGGGCAUAUUGGAAUCCCAAGUGGAAUGAAACUGCUUUUGUUAGUUCCCCUAACAGUGAAAAUCCUGGAUCGGGAUGACUGGCAGCCUCUCACCUUGAAAGGUCUAAUGACUAGCUGGAAGAAGAUAACAUCUUUUGAAACACAAAAUGAAAGUGUUAAUGAAGAUGAACACAGCAAUUACGGUGAGCUGAUAUUUACAAGAUUCCUAAGAAAAAAUAGCUUUCUAUAUUCUUUGACCUCUAAAGAAAAGUACAAGGUGUAGAGGAAUCCAA
rnacentral:lncRNA from 1 species